GCAGUUGGUGGAAGUAACGGACGUCAUCAUUGUGUGUAUUUUAUCUCAGUAACUUGCAAGAUGCUAACGGAGAGAGAACUUACAGCCCAAAAAUUUGAUACGUAAAUACAUUUUUUCCUAAAAAACGUUUGCGGAUGCCAGACAUGACAAUUUAUUGGCAGGAGACUGUUUAAACACUUUCACAAGUACCAUCAGAUCAUGAAGUGUUGAAGUAACUGUGCACUAUCACAGUAAAAUGCUUGCUCAAAUGCCUGAUUUGAUGUGUCGGUGCAAACUCCACCAGGAAGUCAUACUGGAUUGUGGUUGAUCACACAUGGAACUCGAUGUAAUGGGAGCUUACGUGACACUGAAGCUGAGGACCGUGAUGUUGAAACUUCAUGAUGCAUAUGAAACUCAAAAGUCACCGGGAUGUUCCUGUUGACUUCGUGACAGCCUGACGUAUCUGCUGGG